GAGUUUGAUCGUGGCUCAGAGUGAACGCUGGCGGCAGGCCUAACACAUGCAAGUCGAACGGCAGCACAGUCCCGCAAGGGAUGGGUGGCGAGUGGCGGACGGGUGAGGAAUACAUCGGAAUCUACCUUGUCGUGGGGGAUAACGUAGGGAAACUUACGCUAAUACCGCAUACGACCUACGGGUGAAAGCGGCGGACCGCAAGGCGUCGCGCGAUUGGAUGAGCCGAUGUCCGAUUAGCUAGUUGGCGGGGUAAAGGCCCACCAAGGCGACGAUCGGUAGCUGGUCUGAGAGGAUGAUCAGCCACACUGGAACUGAGACACGGUCCAGACUCCUACGGGAGGCAGCAGUAGGGAAUCUUCCGCAAUGGACGAAAGUCUGACGGAGCAACGCCGCGUGAGCGAUGAAGGCCUUC
rnacentral:rRNA from 1 species